GAUGAACGCUAGCGGCAGGCUUAAUACAUGCAAGUCGAGGGGCAGCACAGGUAGCAAUACUGGGUGGCGACCGGCAAACGGGUGCGGAACACGUACACAACUUACCUUAGAGUGGGGGAUAGCCCAGGGAAACUUGGAUUAAUACCUCAUAAAACAGGGGGCCCGCAUGGGCAUAUUGUUAAAGAUUUAUCGCUUUAAGAUGGGUGUGGCGUAUGAUUAGGUAGUUGGUGGGGUAAAGGCCUACCAAGCCGACGAUCAUUAACUGGUGUGAGAGCACGACCAGUCACACGGGCACGGAGACACGGGCCCGACUCCUACGGGAGGCAGCAGUAAGGAAUAGUGGUCAAUGGACGGAAGUCUGAACCAGCCAUGCCGCGUGAAGGAUGAAGGUCCUCUGGAUUGUAAACUUCUUUUAUAGGGGGCGAAAAAGGGCCAUUCUUGGUCAACUGACGGUACCCUAUGAAUAAGCACCGGCUAACUCCGUGCCAGCCGCCGCGGUAACAC
rnacentral:rRNA from 1 species